rnacentral:rRNA from 1 species
CAAUAUGGCCAUUCAAAAAUGGAAACACCUGUUCUCGUCCGAUCACACAAGUUAAGCAUCUUCGGGAUUGGUGACCGCUUGGGAAGACGAAGUGUCAUAUUUC